rnacentral:ncRNA from 1 species
GAGAACUGAUAUUCCAAUGGGUGGAAUGAUAGGGUAACGCCUUGAAACGCCCCCUUAAUACUCCGACAUGCACGAAAAUGUGUAAUAGUUUCGUGUAUGAAGCUCGGUGAAGUCGGCAGAAAGUGACCGUAAGCAAGGAUUUUCCUUGUACGAAAGCUGUUCAGAGGUGAAUGGUGUUGCCUAUAUGCCGGAGGUCUACAAA